AGUUUUGUGGUGCAAGGGCAGCAUAUUUGACUCCAGGUCAGGAAGCUGUAUGUUCAAAUCAUACCAGUUUUA